GCUGUCCUAGUUUAUACUUAAAACGAUGUGUUGUGGUCACAUAGAGAAACUUUUUGUUUGGGCGGUA
rnacentral:tRNA from 1 species